rnacentral:misc_RNA from 1 species
GAUGAAGAACGUAGCGAAAUGCGAUACGUAAUGUGAAUUGCAGAGUUCAGUGAAUCAUCGAAUCUUUGAACGCACAUUGCGCCCGCCAGUAUUCUGGCGGGCAUGCCUGUUCGAGCGUCAUUUCAACCAUCAAGCCCCCGGCUUGUGUUGGGGACCUGCGGCUGCCGCAGGCCCUGAAAACCAGUGGCGGGCUCGCUAGUCACUCCGAGCGUAGUAAUACAUCUCGCUCAGGGCGUGCUGCGGGUUCCGGCCGUUAAAAAGCCUUAUUUACCCAAGGUUGACCUCGGAUCAGGUAGGAAGACCCGCUGAACUUAAGCAUAUCAAUAAGCGGAGGA